rnacentral:rRNA from 1 species
UGGGUAACUUGCCUCAAAGAGGGGAAUAGCCUCCCCGAAAAGGGAGAUUAAUACCGCAUAAUAUGUUUAAGUCGCAUGACUUUAACAUCAAAGGAUUUUCUUUUAGAAAUUCCACUUUGAGAUGGACCCGCGGCGCAUUAGCUAGUUGGUGAGGUAACGGCUCACCAAGGCAACGAUGCGUAGCCGACCUGAGAGGGUGAUCGGCCACAUUGGAACUGAGACACGGUCCAGCUCCGUAGGAGG